UGCUUAUCGCCUUGUGACAAAGAGUAGAUUCAAUUCAAAACGACAUAAAUUAGACAUAAUUUUAAAUUCUUUUAUUUAGUUUACAUAAUCUAAGAGAUAACUACAGGAUAAGCUGGCUUUUCAAAAGAACCUUAUCAAAAAAAUUAAUGCACUAGUCAAUUGAAACCACCAGGGAAGGGUGGGGGAUUAGACUUUGAUCCUGUAGAAAACAGAGAAAAGCUCCCACCCCCUCGGGGAAAAACUGCAGUCAAAUGCCCCUUCCCCUCAGGAUGCAAACUAUAGGAAACUACCUGGCAUUUGAGAUAACAAGUCAUCUUAAAUAUCUUUCAAAGCAAGUGCACUUAACUGAGUACAUUUGUACCAAUAACAAUUAAGAUUAUCAUUACUAAAAAAUGGAAAAAUAAAUAAUCUUCAUUUUGCAUUAGUUAUCACUCAUAUUUGUUUUCGCACAUAUUGUCGUGCAGCUUGACAUAGUCUAAUACACAGAACUGCUUGCUACAGAAGAAAGUCUCAAAUCAGAAACUGACUUGACCCACUUCCCCGGGACCAUGGGGGUGGGGGUUUCAAAUGACAAAGUGCAUAAUUAAAAAUUUUAAUUUACUGGAAAGAUCACUUAAAUAUUGAUUGGCAAAAUUUUUUUGAUAUAACUUAUGUGAAACCUAUAGAAUUUAAGGUACAAUACAACUCUUGCACAUUUAUAUAUAUCGUUCGAGAAAUUCUUUCAAACAGCUCCGGAAGAACUUUCUGGAUCCAAUGUACGAAAGCUGAUGAAACUCUGAGUAGGAUUUUGUGCGAUUUCGGUUUGCAGGGACACUAUCCAAAAACCUCAAACGCACCGAUACGGAGGGUACAAAAUGCAGGUCGGGUGAUUUUAUAGUUUUUGUAGCUACUUCGCAUGUUCGAGUAGAUGCUAUGUCAUCACGUCGAAAAAAAAAAAAAGAAAGAAUUAAGAUUUGCCGCGGUGUUUGCUGGGAAAAUUUGACUUCGGGAUAUGAUCGUUACGAAGCGCCAGCCUAGAAUCACUUUAUAAAGAAGAAGAUAUCAAAAUAAUCAAAAGAUUUUGGGGUUUUUAAACAAUUCUCACAUAUUCGCUCCUAUGGUAGCUUGCUUUGAUAAACUCGAACGCGGCUGCAUUCUAUUCACAUUCCGAAUGAUCGUUCAAACUUUACGUCAAGUUAUUGAUUUAUAAAGAGUUUGCAAUACGUGCCCAAACACACGAGCUCAUGUAAAAACGCUCUCAUUUGGUCAUUUCGAGUAUUUAAGCUUGGGGUUUUUCGCCCGUAUCCGAUUCCUUUUGACAUUAAAUCAAGUUGCAAAGCUUUAUUGAGGUUUUCUUCGCACAAGAACUUGCCCCCGUAAAUUUACUUACGAAUGAUGAUUUUGCACUUUUGAUAUUAUAUUAAGCAAAAUACAUAUUGUACAAGAGUAUUGUGAUCAAUUGUAGCAGGUAUUUCAUCUUUGUGAAAGAAAAAGUAACUGGAAUUCGACAUGCUCGACGUGUCUUUUCGAACAGUUCAAUACAAACACUAAUGAGAUUAUUUUUAGAAUAUUUAUUUUAUGGUGUUUUGUUUUGUGGCUAAGUGGUUUAGGUCAGUGAUCGGAGUCCGUAAGUUGCAUGAGACCACGGGUUCGAUUCCUCCCCGCUGAAUUUUUUUUCUUUUUUUUAAUCUUUGGGAGUCUACCGUUCAUCAAUACUUUUUAUAGUAUUAUUAUACUAAGAAAUAACCUAGAGAUAUAUGAUAACAUGCACGUUACGGGCCUAUUUUUUCUUUUUGUUUCUCUAUCUCAUUGAAUUUCUAGGGCUCGCGUGACGCGUUAAAAUAUCGAAUACUUAGAUUUCCGUUUAUUGCUAAGCAAUGACGUGACCUUGGGAAUAAUACGAAUAUAUCGCCAGCGAUUUGCUGCACAUCAAGCAAACUUGGGUCAAGUAACGUAUAACAGUAUAAAUAUCUCAGUAAAAAUUGUAUAACAACGUAAACCCACGAAUUUUCCUCCCCUACAUGUUUAACGUACCGGUGCACCCCCCUUUCUCCCCUUCGAAAAUGUCUAGAUCCACCCCUGCUGUCCAUUGCACUUAUCAAAAAAAGCUAUAUACUAGAAUGUAAACCAUUUAUCUAAUAGAUACAGUCACCACAUUUUGGAGUUUAUUCAAUUUAUUUUUGGUUGAUGAGCAGCAAAUCAAUGGCGAGAUAUACGUAGUUUUUCAACGGUCACGUGAUCUGUGACGCAACCACCUAUACAUAUUUUUUUCACUUGUCCAUCUACCGUUAUACAUUAAUUGACCCAAGUUUGGUUGAUGUGCAGCAAAGUCACGGGAUUGCUUAUGCUUAGUUAUGAAAGAGAAUCUGAGCGUCACGUGAGCCGUAGAAAUUGAAUGAAAUAGAGGAGG